AGUCAGCCUGCUAUUGAUUGUGUACAGUCCCAAAAGCUGUUCUCAGAUUUAAUUUUACCUCAAAGUCAGACUCACUGCAUUCUCUCCUAUUACCUUCCUCUCCAGACAGCCACAUACAGACAAACAACGCCCAGUACAAGAAGGGCUAUUGCUGCAAAAAAAAAACAACUAGUUUUAUUUAUUUUGUGCUACCAUGGUAACGAAUAGCCAGAAUGCCU